GCGGCGCGAGGACGGGAGGAGUGCAGGCAUUGGGAGGAUCGCGCGUCAAGGGCUUGCGCCAACGAUCGCGUUAAUGGGCCGGCCCAAGUACGUUGGGAGAGGUGGGCGAUUCGUGGGCGAUGGCCGAUGGGCGAUACAUACGAGUGAUGGGAUGAGGCAGGAGUAAGGCGAGACUACCAACUCAGACAUUAGGAGUAGAGAUGAUGAGAUUUAUGCAGUAGGUGUUUUCAUUUGAUAACUUUAAAAUUUCAUUUGUUAGCUUAUCUUCCAAUAACCAAUUAAUCAUGUUUGCUUGGGCAGCUAGCAUUGCCAAAGGUUUCUAGGAGAAGCACGAACGUGAAGAUGGUUUUCCUCUUGCUAAGUUGUUCUUACACGGUAUCAUGCAACUAUUCGUUUCAUGCAAAUAUGUGGUGAACUAAAUUAUGUUACUUGGCCAUUGAGUUGGAU
rnacentral:lncRNA from 1 species